rnacentral:piRNA from 1 species
UGAUAUGAAAAGAUGCCAUUUGACCGG